AUGUGCCCCAGAUCUGUGGUCUUGUUGGUUUUUGCCGCUGUGUUCAGUGUGAAGGGACAGACACUGACUGAGUCUGAACCGGUGAUCAUUAAAGCUGGCGGAUCUCAUAAACUGACCUGUACAGCUUCUGGGUUUGACUUCAGUAACUCUGCUAUGGCUUGGAUCAGACAGGCUCCUGGAAAAGGUCUGGAAUGGAUUGCAUUUCUAGAGACUGCCAGUUAUAGCUUUGCUAACAGCUAUUCCCAGUCUGUUGAGGGAAGAUUCACCAUCUCCAGAGAUGACUCCAGCAGUAAGCUGUAUUUACAGAUGAACAGUCUGAAGAGUAAAGACACAGCUGUGUAUUCCUGUGCCCGUAGAGACACAGUGAGAGAGGGGAGUCACAAAGUCGUACAGAAAUCAUUUCCUCAUACCUUGCUAGUGUGA